rnacentral:rRNA from 1 species
AACGAACGCUGGCGGCAUGCCUAACACAUGCUAGUCGAACGAAGCCUUCGGGCCUAGUGGCGCACGGGUGCGUAACGCGUGGGAAUCUGCCCUUUGGUUCGGAAUAACAGUUGGAAACGCCUGCUAAUACCGGAUGAUGACGAAAGUCUAAAGAUUUAUCGCCAGAGGAUGAGCCCGCGUAGGAUUAGCUAGCUGGUGGGGUAAAGGCGCACCAAGGCGACGAUCAUUAGCUGGUCUGAGAGGAUGAUCAGCCACACUGGGACUGAGACACGUCCCAGACUCCUAAGGGAGGCAGCGGUGGGAAAUAUUGGAUAAUGGGCGAAAACCUGUUCCUACAAUGCCGCGUGAGUGAUGAAGGCUCUAGGGUUGUAAAGCUCUUUUACACGGGAUGAUAAUGACAGUACCGGGAGAAUAAGCCCCGGCUAACUCCGUGCCAGCCGCCGCCGUAA